rnacentral:rRNA from 1 species
GACAUUCCCAAGACAGCUUUUGUCACUCGUUAUGGCCAGUACGAGUACACCGUCAUGUCCUUUGGCCUAACCAACGCCCCAGCCACAUUUUCCCGCCUGAUGAACUCGAUUUUCAUGGAGUACUUAGAUAAGUUUGUCGUGGUUUACCUCGAUGAUAUUCUUAUUUACUCGAAGAACGAGGAAGAGCAUGCCGAACAUCUUAGACUUGUGUUAGAAAAACUCAGAGAGCACCGCCUUUAUGCCAAGUUCUCCAAGUGUGAAUUUUGGUUGCCAGAAGUGACCUAUCUAGGCCACGUAAUCUCUGGUAAGGGCAUUGCUGUCAAUCCUGAGAGAGUUCAA